rnacentral:pre_miRNA from 1 species
UAUAAGGGAUUUUGAGUUUUUGCUUGCACUGUUUGACCACUCGUCUUAUUCAAAAAAUUUUGGAAUUAUUUUUUUUUUGUGACUUACUUUAUUAUCCAAAGUACUUUAAGCACAACUUUUCAUUUUUUAUAUUUGCACAAAAUUUUUGAAUAAGACGAGUGGUCAAAUAAUGCAAACAAAAACUCAAAAUCCCUUAUA